AGCGCACCCACCCACCCCCUGCGCCUCGCGCGCUGCCUCCGUCUGCCGCGCGCCGUCAGGCUCUAGGGCGGGGGCAGCAGCAGAGACUUGGUUGCGGUGAAGAGAGGGCUCGCUGAAAUCUGAGGAGGACACUAAGGAGAGAAGAAUCUGAGGAAGAGAUGUUUCAAGUGAAGAUCUGAGGUAGAAAACUGAGAGGAGACUCAGAGAACUGAGAGAGAGCCUUCUACAGAGGGGCUGUGAGGAGUGAGUGAGUGAGAGAGAGAGCGAGCGAGCCCGACAACAUGAAGAAAUACUGACAAAUUAGAGGCCUGCAGCAGAUGCAUCCAGCCAAGGGCCCUGCAUCAGUCACAGAUCUGAGAGGUCAAAGAGGAAACAGACUGCAUGCUGGGACUGUGCAUAGAUCCACUUAUCAGAUCCGAUCCAGUUCCAGUCCAGUGCAAGCAAUUAUUGUAUUGUUAAUCUGAUAUUAAUACCAGCCUGGAUUGAACUGUUUGAUGCAUUACCAUCAGGCGUGCUAGAGCAGAAUUUAAAAAGGGCUAACUACAAUUCAAUGAUGUGAAAAAAUACAUCAAGAAGUCAGCCAACAACAUUUCAAUUUGUCAUCAUGGCUACAAAAGUAGACAGUGAUAAUCAGCUGCUAAUUCCUGUCUGAGGGGCAACAAUGCCUGGUUGACAAAGAUUGUAUUUGUGUCUGAAGAGAUACAUAGUGAUGAAACGAACAAUGAACAAAUUAUUUCUGUGUCAUCAAAAGAGAGUGACAGUGGCUAACAAAUUAGUGCUACUACAAGCAGUAAAACACUAUUAUGCUUUUUAAAUAAAUUAAGCACAAUCCAGCCAAAGUGAAGCACAUUUAAUUCCAAUUGAUUUAAAUGGGAAAGUUAAACCAGUGUUUUAUCUUUAUCUUUCACUGGAUCACAUCCAAUAUUUCUAGCUGUAUGUCAACAUUUUUUC